CCGAGUCUUAACUGGGCGUUAAGUUGCAGGGUAUAGACCCGAAACCCGGUGAUCUAGCCAUGGGCAGGUUGAAGGUUGGGUAACACUAACUGGAGGACCGAACCGACUAAUGUUGAAAAAUUAGCGGAUGACUUGUGGCUGGGGGUGAAAGGCCAAUCAAACCGGGAGAUAGCUGGUUCUCCCCGAAAGCUAUUUAGGUAGCGCCUCGUGAAUUCAUCUCCGGGGGUAGAGCACUGUUUCGGCAAGGGGGUCAUCCCGACUUACCAACCCGAUGCAAACUGCGAAUACCGGAGAAUGUUAUCACGGGAGACACACGGCGGGUGCUAACGUCCGUCGUGAAGAGGGAAACAACCCAGACCGCCAGCUAAGGUCCCAAAGUCAUGGUUAAGUGGGAAACGAUGUGGGAAGGCCCAGACAGCCAGGAUGUUGGCUUAGAAGCAGCCAUCAUUUAAAGAAAGCGUAAUAGCUCACUGGUCGAGUCGGCCUGCGCGGAAGAUGUAACGGGGCUAAACCAUGCACCGAAGCUGCGGCAGCGACGCUUAUGCGUUGUUGGGUAGGGGAGCGUUCUGUAAGCCUGUGAAGGUGUACUGUGAGGUAUGCUGGAGGUAUCAGAAGUGCGAAUGCUGACAUAAGUAACGAUAAAGCGGGUGAAAAGCCCGCUCGCCGGAAGACCAAGGGUUCCUGUCCAACGUUAAUCGGGGCAGGGUGAGUCGACCCCUAAGGCGAGGCCGAAAGGCGUAGUCGAUGGGAAACAGGUUAAUAUUCCUGUACUUGGUGUUACUGCGAAGGGGGGACGGAGAAGGCUAUGUUGGCCGGGCGACGGUUGUCCCGGUUUAAGCGUGUAGGCUGGUUUUCCAGGCAAAUCCGGAAAAUCAAGGCUGAGGCGUGAUGACGAGGCACUACGGUGCUGAAGCAACAAAUGCCCUGCUUCCAGGAAAAGCCUCUAAGCAUCAGGUAACAUCAAAUCGUACCCCAAACCGACACAGGUGGUCAGGUAGAGAAUACCAAGGCGCUUGAGAGAACUCGGGUGAAGGAACUAGGCAAAAUGGUGCCGUAACUUCGGGAGAAGGCACGCUGAUAUGUAGGUGAAGCGACUUGCUCGUGGAGCUGAAAUCAGUCGAAGAUACCAGCUGGCUGCAACUGUUUAUUAAAAACACAGCACUGUGCAAACACGAAAGUGGACGUAUACGGUGUGACGCCUGCCCGGUGCCGGAAGGUUAAUUGAUGGGGUUAGCGGCAACGCGAAGCUCUUGAUCGAAGCCCCGGUAAACGGCGGCCGUAACUAUAACGGUCCUAAGGUAGCGAAAUUCCUUGUCGGGUAAGUUCCGACCUGCACGAAUGGCGUAAUGAUGGCCAGGCUGUCUCCACCCGAGACUCAGUGAAAUUGAACUCGCUGUGAAGAUGCAGUGUACCCGCGGCAAGACGGAAAGACCCCGUGAACCUUUACUAUAGCUUGACACUGAACAUUGAGCCUUGAUGUGUAGGAUAGGUGGGAGGCUUUGAAGUGUGGACGCCAGUCUGCAUGGAGCCGACCUUGAAAUACCACCCUUUAAUGUUUGAUGUUCUAACGUUGGCCCCUUAUCGGGGUUGCGGACAGUGUCUGGUGGGUAGUUUGACUGGGGCGGUCUCCUCCUAAAGAGUAACGGAGGAGCACGAAGGUUGGCUAAUCCUGGUCGGACAUCAGGAGGUUAGUGCAAUGGCAUAAGCCAGCUUGACUGCGAGCGUGACGGCGCGAGCAGGUGCGAAAGCAGGUCAUAGUGAUCCGGUGGUUCUGAAUGGAAGGGCCAUCGCUCAACGGAUAAAAGGUACUCCGGGGAUAACAGGCUGAUACCGCCCAAGAGUUCAUAUCGACGGCGGUGUUUGGCACCUCGAUGUCGGCUCAUCACAUCCUGGGGCUGAAGUAGGUCCCAAGGGUAUGGCUGUUCGCCAUUUAAAGUGGUACGCGAGCUGGGUUUAGAACGUCGUGAGACAGUUCGGUCCCUAUCUGCCGUGGGCGCUGGAGAACUGAGGGGGGCUGCUCCUAGUACGAGAGGACCGGAGUGGACGCAUCACUGGUGUUCGGGUUGUCAUGCCAAUGGCACUGCCCGGUAGCUAAAUGCGGAAGAGAUAAGUGCUGAAAGCAUCUAAGCACGAAACUUGCCCCGAGAUGAGUUCUCCCUGACCCUUUAAGGGUCCUGAAGGAACGUUGAAGACGACGACGUUGAUAGGCCGGGUGUGUAAGCGCAGCGAUGCGUUGAGCUAACCGGUACUAAUGAACCGUGAGG
rnacentral:rRNA from 1 species